rnacentral:lncRNA from 1 species
UUUUUUUUCCUUUUCUGAAGAAGCAUGGUCCAUGGAUGAUGGUCCAGGAAUCCAUCUUUCGAGGAUGGAGAAAAAUAGUACCUUUUAAAUUCACCGACCAGGCCGUAGAGAUUUGAUACUAAUGAGACAUUUUUGUUUAAAGACAGUGCAUAAAUAGGUACUAUAGUACUUUUGGUUCCUGAUUUUUUACAGGAAAUCAUAUUUGAAAGUUUCAAAAAAAUCUGAAUCCUUUUUGUGUAUGUAUACACAAACCUACAUAUUUUCAUCAAGAAAUAUGUUGAUUUGUGAUCUGUGAAAAAAAAAACACAAAUCUGUGGAUCUAGAUGGUAAACGGGUUCACGAGGCUCUGCCUGCCGCCGUCACCGUGUUCAACAAAAGUAGAGGUAAGCAAUGUGGUGCUGGGCCAGAUUUGCAUGUUGUUACUUGUUACUGCCGUUCGAUUUUAGGUCCCUUUACUGUGUCCAGCAACAGUAGGAGAGCAUAGAGGAUAGGAAUAAUGAGUUCAGAGCUUAUUUGGUCCCAAGUAAUUUGUAUGGCUAUUUCUUUGAUGCCAACCAAUUCUGAAGUUUUACAAGCAUGUCUCUGGACCAGUAUGCACUCAUCUCAUUGUGUUUUUGUAAAAAAAAAAACACGCAACUAUGGACUCUUUUGCAUGAUCAAAUUAUGUCCAAUAUCUCAGGUAAAGCUUUGCUAGAGCUGAAAUAUUUGUGGUUCUUUCAUAGUUGCAGUACUGAAUAUAUGUCAUGUGAAAUAUUUUUCAUGCUUCAAUUCUAAGGCAAGAUGUCUGUCCAUUUGAAGUUAUUGUCCACCAGUGACGAUGUUGAGUGUAAGCUUCUAUCCCGUGAUCUUAGUGUGCAUCAAAUCUAUAUUAUGCAAAGUCUAUGUUCACAAUUUCAGCAGGUACUAUCUCGUCUUCUCCGAGAGUAGAGCACAGAAACAAAGGGUGUCUGGUGGCCGUCAGAUGGGAGCAUGAAGAGAGAAGCAUGUUAGUAGGUUUUGUUGUCUUAUGAUAGAGUAGAGUAUGGAGACAAAAUCUACCGAAGAUUUUCUUUUUAAAAGAGAUGUUUGGUGGUCGGUGGUUGUCAAAGAAGAUCAAAGAGAAGUUUGACGCAUGUCUUCGAAUGUGCGGAGUAUCUUUUAUUUUGUUGUACCGUUGCAACGCACGGACAUUUCUGCUAGUACAUAUGUUAAUUACGAGGAACCCGGAUGGUACCGUAGUAUGCAAUGUUGUAGGAUACGUAAAUAAGUAAAAUAGAGAUAAGCAAUCAAUCGAUACAACAUACAACUAAGGAGAUCGUGACCCUCUAACUAAGUCACUGGAUAUGUAGCAAGCACCAAGAGUCGAAACUCGAAAGCAAUUUCCUCACACCAUAACUGCAGAUGCCCUACAUGAAAUGGUCACCAUCGCACGUGAACAUAUGUGAAAUCAUCUUCCGAGCGUAAAGCGUGGCAAGUAUCACAAACCGGAGCAGAAUCUUCUUAGCAUAUAUACAUUUCACCGACAAAGUAUAAACACAGGCGUCAUAUCUCUUCCAUGGCAAAAUAACCGAGAGAUGAGAUUCUACGUUACAGACAAAUGAAAUCUGUUGAGACGGUCCACGUCUUUCCUGCGUGUUCUCGCAUCACUGAUGUCUGUUUCUAAGCAUAUAUCGGUUGCUACAACGUUUUUCUAGAUUCUCUAUGGCUUUUUUUAGAGACAGAGAGAGGGAGAUAUCAGUUUCUCUAUGGCCUGAUUUCCACUCACCAAAGUAGGAAAAAACCCAAACUACCAAACAGAUUUUUUGUGUCCUCAACUUAAUUAUUUAUUGAUGGCUAAUACUCAGCUACCUCAUAUAUGAAAUCACAUGCUCAUGGUUAUAUGAUGCAUAGAAUACAUUUAUGUGUUUUAAGAAAACUGGCGAUUAUCAAUGGAAUACAAUAUAUCUUGUAUGAAUAUUGGAAAGACUGCCCGGGCACAUUGAUAAUCGGAAGGAGUUAGGUCAUUGAUUAUAUUAUAGCCCUAAUGUCGACCUACAUGAUUAGUGGAAUUUAAACAUGAUCAUGGCGCAUUGCUCACAAAUGCUUGUUCUAGGGACCGACAGUUAGAGUCCCUAACGGAUGAAUUAUACCGUGGUUGGUAGUUUAAUCUGGACUCUAUCUGAAAACUAGUUUAAAUUUCAUGAUUUAAAACUAAGACUCUUAUCUGUAUAUGCAGUAUAAGAAGGUCCUUACCCCCUAACCUCAGAUUGCGGAAUUGUGAGCGGCACAAUGAAAAAACGCAGAGGAAUAAUAUGGGGUAGACCACCCAAAAUUUCCAACAGGCCCCACGUGUCAGCCACAACACCGUACGUCAGGGGAUCCUCCUCCAUUUUCUUCGACGGACACAGCAAUCUCCGUCUUUUUAGCAAGUGUAUCGUCUGAUGCCACAAUACAUGUACAUCAGACCAGACACCACGGGCAAACAACAAAAAUCAUUAGAAACCUGAGCAAUUUCCACAAAAUAAUAGACGACAUUAUAUUAGGGGCUACAUUCUUUUGUAAUCCAAAGUCGACCAAUACUCUCAUAACCACACCAAUGUUCUAAUGUCUGUCCAAAGCACUUUUGCAACACAACAAUGAAACAACAAAUGAACGGCUGAUCCAGGUUCAGCACAAAGAAGGCAGCUAGUAUCUGGAGCAUUUUGUCGUUUAACAUGAACCCGAAGUAAGUAAAAUGAACAACAAAUUAUCUCUAGUAAAGCAACUUGUUAUGAGUUACCAGCCAAAGUAACACAUGAACCCCUUCUCGUCAAACAACAUGUACAUGAACCCUAAUAUGGAGAGCAAUGUAAACAGGGGUAACUCCCUUGAAAAUUUAUUAUAGCAUACAGAGGAGCAGUGUAUAAACUAUCCUCUUCCUCCGUUAAAAACAAAGAAGAAACAAUAUGAACUGAUUAGAUAAAUUAAGGUGUGUAUUCAUUGUUUUUUCUCGUCGCGACUCGACAGAGUUAGUAAAGGCUAUGGUGUCAACGCGAUUUACCAAUGCGCAGUGGACAUACCCCCUUCCAAAAAUAUAAGGAUGAACUUGAUGAUUGAGGAACCAAGGAAAAUUUAUCCCCACAAUGGCGCCGAAGUCUUGCAUAAAUUUUACUCCCGAGUACAUUUUUCACUUGUAAUGUAGCAUUGAGUAGAGGUCAAUUAAAAAGCAAUUUGGCAACGACCAACGAGGACAUAAGGAUGUAUGAUCAGGGCUCAAGGAUCAACUUGUCCUUAUUUUUUUUGGAUUUCUCAUAUUAGGAUUUAUCCUUAUAUAUUUUAAGGUAGGAGUAUGUACUCGUUGAGAAACUAAUAUAUACAAUGCCUAAACUAAGACAAAGUUCACCCACCAACAUCUACAACAAACACUCUAGUAGUUAGAUCUUGAAAAACAAAACACAUGCAAGAACAAAAAAAACUACCAAACUGGAUAUUACUCGCUGUAGUUAACAAAGGUACAAACGCAUUAGCAACCUUGAGCAAUUGACCUCGACUCACAUCACGGAGAUCACAACGGCAGAGCUGGAUCAACUUUCCAGAUAGCUGCCACAAGUGCAAUGCUCUGUAAAAUAUGUCAAAACUCCGUUCCAACUCACAUCACAAGGUCCUUUGUAUAUCAUUCCAACUCCGUUCCCUUGCCUCCCCAAGUUCCCGACACAAAUGCACGAUUUCAAAGCUUCUAGCUGCCAUCCGGGCUUCCAUAACAGUGGCCAUAUGGUCUUACUGGCAAUAAGAGAGAGAGCCAUAAACAUCUGCCUUAUGGUCUUUGUCCUCAAAGGACAUUCAUCUACAAGGGAGAAGAAGUACAUAUUUGCAUGUUGCAGCUAAUAUAUUCCCAGUGCCACCUACUCCUACACUAAUCUAAAGGCAUGAGCUAGUCUCUUUCAAGAGCGGUCGAUGCGUGGAAGACAUAAUUCUAUUUCAUGAUCUCUCACAUAUGAGUGUCCCUGAUAUGUUUUCCUGAAUAUAUAGUGAUGUGCAUGCGUAUGAAUAGUUAGUAAUGUGGAGGACGGCUUGGUGUUGGUCCCAUGGAUCUUAUUGUUUCCGUUCAAUAUAUGGUGGAUGGAAAGUACAAAAAGAGUAAUAAACAUAAAAGGAUAUGGAGUGUACAUGUGGUAAUAUAUGUAGGACUAGAGGCCUGGGAGCUCCUCCCCUUUUCGGAAAAAAAUAUAACCACUGGAGCUCUCAUUUUUUUUUCCUUACAUGUACUUUCUCUGUUUCAUAAAAAAUGUCGCCCACUUAGUACAAAAUUUGUACUAAUUUAGUGCAAAAUGGACGACAUUUUUUAUGAAUAGGAGGGAGUAGUAUGAAAUCAGUAAAAUGAACUGUUCCGUCCUAGUGAGUAUUACAGUUCUUAUACUUUAAUGUAUACCAAUCACUAGUCAAAAGCUCGUGCGUUGCUACGAAGAAUAAAUAAGAAUACAAAAAAUAAUGUAAACUAUCGCAGCAUCAUGAAAACACGAAGAAUCUUCCUUCUCUUUUUAUACUUCCAUUUCCUCCCUUGGUUUGAAUGUCGCUUUGCUUCACAAGACAUGCUACUCAGUUUUUUUUAUAUGGUUCCUUCGGUAAGCUGAGGAUUUUCUCUAUCCCACUCGAUUGUAGGCAUGUCCUCACCCUCGUAUUCAUCGGGAACCAACAUGUCAUUGUUCUCCUCUUUGUCUUCAUCGUCAGUGUCAUCAAAUCUAGCAGCAGGGGUGGGUUCCUCCUCGUAUUCAUCUUGCAUCGCUUGUUGGCUGAAUUGUCCACCAAUUCAGGAAACAUCGUCUCAUCCUCAUCAUCUCUUCGAGCGACUGCCACGUCAGGCUGUGCGUCGUCAUCUAUGUCGAUUCCAGUACUGGUUUGGUUUUCGCUACAUGUAGGUUUACAGGGUCUGGACCUAAGAGGAGUUUGUGGGCGUUGAGUAUUAGCAGAGUUAACUGAAUCCCUAACUGUAAUGCUGCCCCCAUCUCCCAAUUGCUUCUACCAUUCUUUGCGGGGCUGUAGCACAUCGAUUUGAAUUUUACCGAAACGGGAGACAGCAUUCAAACCAAAUAGAACUCCGAGAUGUUCAUCGCAAGUUAGAGGCUCAAAUCUUUGCUCGGCAGUGUUGAAAUAUCUGAAGUCAACUGCAUCUUCCUGGCUCUAGGGAUAUGCAGAAUAUAGCGAAUUCCAAAAAUCAUCGAAUGAUGUGAGACUCUCUACCACCUUUGGAUAGCAAAGUUUGGACAGUAGAUGCGCUUUAGUUCCACGCAAAAUUCUAGUUUCCAUAAAAACUGCAACGUCUCCACGCAAAAAUUAUGGAAUGAUGUGCUAGUCUCUACCGGUGCAGAUUCUGGUCACCAUCGUCUCCGGACUCCUCACCACCACCUGCAGCAAGAGGCAUCGGGAUCCUCGGCGACGGCAGCCACAUCCUCAGCUUCCGCGUCAUCGACAGCGAGCAACGUCUCCACAAUUAUAACUCCUCGUCACCUCCGUCGUGACCUACUGGCGGGCUUUUGUAAUUGCUUCAUGAAGACGAUGUUAUGCAACUUAGAAGAACCUGCGCACUUCUACAGGUAUUGUAUUCAGUCAUUCUAAAGGUUUAUCUUCUAGAGCGUUUUGCUCCACUAUUAAUAUACUUCCAUAUGUAUGCUUGGCGCUUUCCGUUAGUGGUUGAUCCCAAAUGGUCCAUCAGCAUUGCGUGGCCUCUCUGAAUCAUCAUAAGCAUUCAGUUAUGUCUAUUAGAGAUGGACUGGAAAUGGAGAGCAUUCUCUGAACAUUUAAUCUCUUAUGUUUAUUUGCUUUUCCAUGGUUGUUUUUGUAGGGGUUGGUGUAUGUAGACUCUUUAGACAAAGAGCAUAUUGAGGCAGCCAUUAAAAAGAACAAGAAGAAGUAAGAAAGUAAGUAUUGAUCACUCAGAUCCAACCAAAUCGGCAUCUAACGAUGAUGGUGUGACAUUGUUCAGAUAUCCAGUUUUGGAAUAAGAACAGGUCCAUGAAAGGUCUAUCGGCAAAAUUCGUGGUUCUGAGAUUCAUAUGUCAGCUGCUUAUUUUUCUUUACCUGCUUGACAAUGAUACUUCAAUGAUGAUCCUUUCUAGCUUAUUUUAUGGAUAUGACUCCUCUUUUAAAUACUCCCUCCGAUUCAAAAUUGUUGUCGAAAUAUUACAUGUAUCUAGACGCUUUUUAAGAAUAGAUACAUCCAUAUUUGGGCAAAUUUGAGUCAAGAAUUUAGGAUUAGAGUGAGUACUAAAUUUACUGUUAUCUUAUUUGUGCCCCAUGUAAUACAGCCAGUGUUAUAUUAGGUAUUAUGUUAUAUCGAAAUAUACAUAAUUCCAGAAAUUUUUAGGUAACCAAAUUUAUAGACAUGGAUGCUUGGUGGAUACGUUAAUUGGAGUCGAGCAAUCGCAACUCACAUAUAUAAUUAACUGGUGGAUUCUGAGAUUCUAUUGUACUAUUUUUCAAUUAGUGUUUACCCUGAAAGAGCGAGCUGCAAAAAUUAUUUUUGUAGUCAUAUCACUUUUUUGUGUUAUGAGACUGUCAAGCAAGAGUUUACUUAUGAUUUCUAGCAUCAUCUAAGUCUGUUAUGAUCUUUUCAGGUUGUAGUGGUAACAAGUGAUUUACCUCUUUGAUAUUAAACUGAAUUGUAAUUCUUUCGAACUGGCAAUGAAACUAAAUUGUAAUUCUUCUGAACUGACACAGUGCCAUGUAAACAAAAUAAAUCAGCAGUUGGAAUUGAAAAUCCUCAGCUUCAGUUACUUCUGGAGUAACAGUGUGCACCUUUUUCUUCUUUCAAUUCUUCUGAGUAGGUUGCAAGAACAUUACAGUUUAGUUUCUAUGUCAUAUCUUCAAUCUAAAAAACUAAGCUUCUUACGGCUCUCUAAAUUACCUCCGCACUAUGAUGCACAUUUUCUUGCAUCAACAGUGCCUCGUGUUCCUGUUUAUGUGAACAACUCGUAAGCAUAACAGUUAAUAUUGUAGGAUACAUCACUGCCAUUCCAUGGUUCUUAAAACUAGGAUUACUCACUCGGUUAUGCGGACCUCUUUUAGGAUUAACACCUAGAACUAGACGUCUUGCAGUUCUCUAGAUGGUUUUAUAGCAUUAAUCUUGUGCUUUCUCUUGUACCAACUGCCGUCAUUACUUUUAUACUUCACAGUUGCUCUGAUUUGAUAUUAGCAUUAAAGAGUUUGGUCAGACAUUACUUGCACACUAUGUCACUUAACUCUCGUCUCUUUUGUUUAUCUUUUGAGAUUUUUUAUGGUAUCCCGGAAUUAAUAUGAGCCAUCCAUUCUCUGCGAUCUAAUGGCUAAUAUCGUGUGGUACUCCGUCACAAGUCUUCAGAGUACCAUCUAAAAAAUAUACGGAGUAUCAUGGAGUGAAGGCCAAAACUGUAAUCGUACAGAUUCUUCUUCUUUCUUAAUGACCUCAUGAUCAGAUUUGGGAAGUCGAUGGCCUCAGGAAAGAUUGCAUUGGAGAUGCCGCCGGGCGCCGGCACACCAAGGUAAUCUCCGAUUGUGAAAUCUGCUACACCGUAUUAGAAAUCCAUAUCUGUAAUCCCCGUCCACGUUCCCGCCGCACCAAGAUUGGGGAGCCGGCUUGCCGUGGAGGCGCUGUAGGACAGAACUCGAUCGAUCUUACCAGAAUCAUGAACGGUGAAAAUAGAACCUAGCACAAUCAACUCGCAUGGUAGCCUUAUGAUUGAUCUUACUAAAAUCGUUAUCAGGAAAAAUUGAACCUACGGCACAAUCAUUGGAUUCGAUUUGCAAUUCACAUCUUAAACUGAACAACGAUUAGAGCAACCAUGAGUAACGCCGCCGGCCGCAGAUCAUUGGAUGAUCUGGUCCGGACUCCGGAGUGAUUUUGCCGGAUGAAGCACGAACGUGAACUCAGAAAACCUACUUGAACACGAAGCACACAAAACAGAAGCAGACGGGUAUAACGGUAGACGGCGGUGCGCGGCCGCGGGGACAAAACGGCAACAGAGUCGCAACAGCCAGAUCGAUUGGGAAGACACUUCAAAAGUCCAAAACACCCCGCUGAUACGGACGGUUGGAUUGUUUGGUACUCCUUUCUGCAUAUUGGAGUACUAGGGUACUAAAAAAAGCCUUUAUCUUUUUCGUCUAUCAAUUAUAUCUAACCUUUUACGCUCAAUGUUUUGUUGUUUUCUUUUUCAUUUUACAUGCAGGUGCCUCCCUGCAUCUGCAUGUCUUACGACUGCAGAUGUUUGGAACAAUUGCAACUGUCGUUCUCUGGUGUUGCGCUACACAGGUGUAAAUGAUGUUGCUUACAUAUAGCACUACUGUAGAACCAAAGACCACGUAAAACCUGUUGUUCACGGUAGCACUACUCAUCCAUGUUUUUUGCUGUCUUAUGUAAUCAAGUGUACCGAGAAAGUAUGUAAACUGUCUUCUGUAAUCAUGUGCACCGAGAAAGUAUGUAAAUUGUUCCGAUUUGUACAAUUUUUUGUUGCCUGUUUUGUAGCGGUAGCAAGUCUCUGCCCUGUCAGUCUUGCUUAUCACUGGAGUUGAGAUCGCCUGUAUGGCUGUAUCAUAUGCAAUGCCUCUUUAGCUGAAGAAGAAUUUUGGUUAAGAUUCCAUGGCCAUAGCUAAACAACAAAAAAAAAACAUGGCAUCUUAGAAAGGAUACACUGCGUAACGCGGAGGUGCUGACUCCGGGGCUAUCUAGCCCCAUAUUUCUAGCCACAUGUUUCAUCUCAGGCCCACCAAAUUAAUUUAUUUUGUCCUAUACUACAGAGAGAUUAGCAGCAAACUAGUACUUGUGGCAGGCACGUGUUUUUUACUGACAACUCUUUAUUUUUGUUUGGUUCUCUCUCGUUCUCUGCAUCUCUGUCCCAUUUUCAAGUACAUUGUGGUACACGUUUUUAAGUACAUAUUUAGUGCAUUAUGGUAAAUAAACGGUACCUUAUCAGUUUUCAAAUAUCUUGUAUACAUGAGCUUACGAGACGAGUACAUUGUAUGGUACAUCACAUGUACAUUAUCACUUUUAAGUACCUCACGUAGAUGGAUUUAUGAGACGACUACAUCGUAUGGUGCAUCACAUUUAUUCAGAAAAAAUCAUAGUACAUGACAGAUACAUGACAAGUACAUCAACACACAUCACAAAUACAUAAGACACAUCAGAGACACAUGAAGGUACAUAACAAGUACAUCAAAACAAAUUCGAGACACAUGAAUGUACAUUACAAGUACAUGAAGACACAUCAGAGACACAUGAAGGUAUAUGACAAGUACAUCGAGGCACAUGAUACUGCUAAAAAAUCACAACACACAUUCAAAAAGAAAUCAUGAGAUCCAAAAGCAAGAUCACAGUACAAGAUUCAAAAAGAUCCAAAAGCACACGCAUCCGGUACAGUCGGCGGCCCGGCACCCGGAUCCAGCAGAUCGCCUCGUCCACGAGCAUGGCCAGCGACGGCUCAGGGCGAAGUGGUGGGGGCGGCGGAGGCGGCGGUGCGGAGAGGUGGGGGCGGCGGCGGAGGCGGCGGCACGAAGAGUUGGGGGCGGCGCGGCGGAGGCUGACCUGUGGCGGAGGCGGCGCGAAGAGAUGAGGGCGAGCUGGGGCUGGGAGAGAGAGAGAGAUGCGCGAGAGAGGGAAGAGGGCGGGGUCGAGGCUGUGGGCUCAGGCGCUGUGCAUCGUGGAGUGCUGGCGCGGGGCGGCUGGUGGGGCGGAUCGAGACGCGGCGGCACGCUGGCGGAGUUGAAGAAGAUAGAAUAGGUCGGGGAGAGAAGGAGAAACAGUGAGGAAGAAAAGAAAGAGGGGCGGCUAGGGAGAAGAUAAAACCGAGGGGGGAGAGGUGGCUUAUUAGCAAAGCAGUGUCAGGAGAUUAAGAAAAGCGGGGACAGAUGUGUGGUGAAGAAGGUGGGGCUAAAUAGAGGGAGUGACCGAGAGGCAUAUCCUGGGUUUGUUUUGACAGUAAAAACAUUUUUACAAAUUAGACAGCACAUCUCGCCCCAGUCAGGCUUCAGGCGGCGCGGCGUUCAAAAGAACUAUAAGCGAUGGAAAAAAAA